rnacentral:rRNA from 1 species
UACGGAGGGUGCGAGCGUUAAUCGGAAUUACUGGGCGUAAAGCGUGCGCAGGCGGUCUGUUAAGACCGAUGUGAAAUCCCCGGGCUUAACCUGGGAACUGCAUUGGUGACUGGCAGGCUUUGAGUAUGGCAGAGGGGGGUAGAAUUCCACGUGUAGCAGUGAAAUGCGUAGAGAUGUGGAGGAAUACCGAUGGCGAAGGCAGCCCCCUGGGCCAAUACUGACGCUCAUGCACGAAAGCGUGGGGAGCAAACAGG